ensembl:snRNA U1 U1 spliceosomal RNA
AUGCUUAACUGGGAGGGGAGGUACCAUGAUCAUGAAGGUGGUUUUCCCAGGGUGAGGCUUAUCCGUUGCACUCUGGAUGUGCUGAUCCCUGUGAUUUCCCCAAAUGUGGGAAACUCGGCUGCAUAACUUGUGGUAGUGGGGGACGGUGUUCGCGCUUUA